UGAUUAGGCAUCCAGCAGAUCAAAUCAUUGUCUGUGUGAACAGCCCUUAAGUGUUGAAGCUCAACUGUGAGAAAACUCUGACGAGAGCCAAUGCAUCUUAGUUUAGUGUAGCAGCCAAUACAAAAAACCUUGUGUAAUUUCCCCAGGUAAUAAACAAACUCGUUUCAGAAAAUAAAAGGUUGGAAAACA